ACGGGAGGCAGCAGUGGGGAAUAUUGGACAAUGGGCGAAAGCCUGAUCCAGCGACGCCGCGUGAGUGAAGAAGUAUUUCGGUAUGUAAAGCUCUAUCAGCAGGGAAGAUAAUGACGGUACCUGACUAAGAAGCACCGGCUAAAUACGUGCCAGCAGCCGCGGUACUACGUAUGGUGCAAGCGUUAUCCGGAUUUACUGGGUGUAAAGGGAGCGUAGACGGCAUGGCAAGUCUGAAGUGAAAGCCCGGGGCUCAACCCCGGGACUGCUUUGGAAACUGCUAAGCUAGAGUGCAGGAGGGGUAAGUGGAAUUCCUAGUGUAGCGGUGAAAUGCGUAGAUAUUAGGAGGAACACCAGUGGCGAAGGCGGCUUACUGGACUGUAACUGACGUUGAGGCUCGAAAGCGUGGGGAGCAAACAGGAUUAGAUACCCUGGUA
rnacentral:rRNA from 1 species